rnacentral:rRNA from 1 species
CAGUAGCCGCGGUAAUACGUAGGGUGCGAGCGUUAAUCGGAAUUACUGGGCGUAAAGCGUGCGCAGGCGGUUUUGUAAGACAGAGGUGAAAUCCCCGGGCUCAACCUGGGAACUGCCUUUGUGACUGCAAGGCUAGAGUACGGCAGAGGGGGAUGGAAUUCCGCGUGUAGCAGUGAAAUGCGUAGAUAUGCGGAGGAACACCGAUGGCGAAGGCAAUCCCCUGGGCCUGUACUGACGCUCAUGCACGAAAGCGUGGGGAGCAAACAGGAUUAGAUACCCGGGUAGUCCCUGUCUCUUAUAC